GGGAGAUGGCUCAGUGGUUAAGAGCACUGGCUGCUCUUCCAGAGGUCCUGAGUUCAAUUCCCAGCACCCA
rfam:Neotoma lepida isolate 417 scaffold_1686, whole genome shotgun sequence.